rnacentral:rRNA from 1 species
GACAGAGGCCUCGAGCGUUAGGCGGAAUCACUGGGCUUAAAGCGUGUGUAGGCGGGCCCGUAAGUGUCUUGUGAAAUCCCACGGCUCAACCGGGGAACUGCUGGGCAUACUGCGGGUCUUGGGCCAACUAGGGGCAGCCGGAACAAGCGGUGGAGCGGUGAAAUGCGUAGAUAUCGCUUGGAACGCCGAAGGUGAAAACAGGCUGCUGGGGUUGCGCCGACGCUGAGACACGAAAGCCAGGGGAGCAAACGGG